rnacentral:lncRNA from 1 species
AGAUACACUCAUGACUCUCAAUUAGCAACCCAAAAGACCCACAACCAACCAUUAUAAAAGGCAUGUCAUACAGAGAACUAAAAAAGGCAGUAAGUUGAAAAAAAGAGACAGAUAUAUACACAGAGAGAUAUCACAAGUAAUCAAAGAGUAUACUAUUACACAUCACACUCAUAUCACAUCGAGAAUAGAAAAAAGCUAUCACAAAGGCAUAUAUACACAUACAUAUAGAAAACAAAAAAGGAGAAGAUAUAGGCAAUAUAUCCAUCUUCUUAUCAACAAGCAGUUACUAUAAACCGAAUUCAACAACUCUAGUGUCUCCACAAACGAAGUAUAAGUCAAGCCUCAAAGGUAAUGCAUAUGUUACUUAUUAAAGCCCCAAAGAUAAUGCAUAUGUUACUUAUUAAAGCAAAGCAAUUUUAUAUGCUAAACCUAUGUUUUGAAAUGCAUUAAAAAAUUUGUAUUCAUAAAAAUAUAUGUUACCUUA